rnacentral:rRNA from 1 species
GAAGGUCACGGCGAGACGAGCCGUUUAUCAUUACGAUAGGUGUCAAGUGGAAGUGCAGUGAUGUAUGCAGCUGAGGCAUCCUAACAGACCGGUAGACUUGAACCUUGUUCCUACAUGACCCGAUCCAUUCGAUCAGGCACUCGCCAUCUAUUUUCAUUGUUCAACUCUUUGACAACACGAAAAACCAUUGUUCCACUCUUUGACAACAUGAAAAA